rnacentral:rRNA from 1 species
CCUACGGGAGGCAGCAGUAGGGAAUUUUCGUCAAUGGGCGCAAGCCUGAACGAGCAAUGCCGCGUGGGUGAAGAAGGUCUUCGGAUCGUAAAGCUCUGUUGCGAGGGAAAAAGGAAGAGAAGAGGGAAUGAUUCUCUUUUGAUGGUACCUCGCCAGAAAGUCACGGCUAACUACGUGCCAGCAGCCGCGGUAAUACGUAGGUGGCGAGCGUUAUCCGGAAUGAUUGGGCGUAAAGGGUGCGCAGGCGGCAUAUCAAGUCUGAAGUGAAAGGUACGGGCUCAACCUGUACAGGCUUUGGAAACUGGUAUGCUCGAGGACAGGAGAGGGCGGUGGAACUCCACGUGUAGCGGUAAAAUGCGUAGAGAUGUGGAAGAACACCAGUGGCGAAGGCGGCCGCCUGGCCUGUAACUGACGCUCAGGCACG